GUGAGGAAUAUUGGUCAAUGGGCGUAAGCCUGAACCAGCCAAGUCGCGUGAGGGAUGAAGGAUCUAUGGUUCGUAAACCUCUUUUAUAAGGGAAUAAAGUGCGGGACGUGUCCUGUUUUGUAUGUACCUUAUGAAUAAGGAUCGGCUAACUCCGUGCCAGCAGCCGCGGUAAUACGGAGGAUCCGAGCGUUAUCCGGAUUUAUUGGGUUUAAAGGGUGCGUAGGCGGCCUUUUAAGUCAGCGGUGAAAGUCUGUGGCUCAACCAUAGAAUUGCCGUUGAAACUGGGGGGCUUGAGUAUGUUUGAGGCAGGCGGAAUGCGUGGUGUAGCGGUGAAAUGCAUAGAUAUCACGCAGAACCCCGAUUGCGAAGGCAGCCUGCCAAGCCAUGACUGACGCUGAUGCACGAAAGCGUGGGGAUCGAACAGG
rnacentral:rRNA from 1 species